AUUGAACGCUGGCGGCAUGCCUUACACAUGCAAGUCGGACGGCAGCACGGGAGCAAUCCUGGUGGCGAGUGGCGAACGGGUGAGUAAUACAUCGGAACGUGUCCUGGAGUGGGGGAUAGCCCGGCGAAAGCCGGAUUAAUACCGCAUACGCUCUGAGGAGGAAAGCGGGGGAUCUUUCGGGACCUCGCGCUCAAGGGGCGGCCGAUGGCAGAUUAGCUAGUUGGUGGGGUAAAGGCCUACCAAGGCGACGAUCUGUAGCUGGUCUGAGAGGACGACCAGCCACACUGGGACUGAGACACGGCCCAGACUCCUACGGGAGGCAGCAGUGGGGAAUUUUGGACAAUGGGCGCAAGCCUGAUCCAGCAAUGCCGCGUGUGUGAAGAAGGCCUUCGGGUUGUAAAGCACUUUUGUCCGGAAAGAAAACUUCUGCCCUAAUACGGCGGGGGGA
rnacentral:rRNA from 1 species